rnacentral:lncRNA from 1 species
UCUUUAUAAGAACCACUCUCUUCCAGUGGUGUGCAUCACUUGGACUUUACAAGAGCUAAGAUUUGGGAACCUCACUGAGUGAAUCAGAUGAGCGUGAUGCGAAGAGCCAAGAAAUGGAGAAUCAAAAUAUCUUGUGGAUCACACCCAACAAAUAGCUGCUGCUCACCUCACCGUGGCUACAGUCAUCAUUCAAGCUGUGCUCGGUGGUGGGGUACAGCAAAGUCCCCUGUAAUUAACAGAGACAAACAAGGACUAUGUUGCAAUGUGAAGAUAUGCAAGGCCAAGUUAGAUACAAGAAAACAACCAAGCAACCAUUUUUUUGCCAAAAACCUUUUGUGAACUGCCAAGAACUGUGGAGCAUUGAAACUUUACUGCCAUUCUCUCUCUGUGAGGAACAUUGGCUUUGACCUGCCUUUUCCAACAUUAACAUAAUUCUAUGUGUGUGUGUCAUUAAAAUACACAACAAAAAGAACUGCUUCGCUGCCCAUUGUCCCUUGCUGGGAAGGAACAAAUUGAACAAUCCAAUGCCAUAUGCUUGUCACUUUGCUUCAUGCA